UACGUAGGGUGCAGGCGUUAAUCGGAAUUACUGGGCGUAAAGCGUGCGCAGGCGGUUUGCUAAGACAGGUGUGAAAUCCCCGGGCUUAACCUGGGAACUGCGCUUGUAACUGGCAAGCUUGAGUGUGGCAGAGGGGGGUGGAAUUCCACGUGUAGCAGUGAAAUGCGUAGAGAUGUGGAGGAACACCGAUGGCGAAGGCAGCCCCCUGGGCUAACACUGACGCCUCAUGCACGAAAGCGUGGGGAGCAAACAGG
rnacentral:rRNA from 1 species